rnacentral:lncRNA from 10 species
UAAACAGGUAAUUGUACUUUCAGUGAAAACUUCAAGUGGAAGUAAGUAGAAGAAGGAAGUUGGAGGAAGAAGGAGGGGUAGGAAGAGGAAUAAGAGAAGAGGAGGAGGAGGAGGAAAAAGAAGAACAAGAAGAAGGAGAAGGAGAAGAAGAAACAAGAAAGAGAAGGAGGAGGAGGAGGAAAAAGAAGAACAAGAAGAAGGAGAAGGAGAAGAAGAAAGAAGAAAGAGAAGGAGCAGCAGUGGCGGUGGCAGCCACAGGAGCAAAAGGAGCAGAAGAUGACUACAAUGCGAUGAAGAUACAAUGAAACAUAGCUACUUACUCUUGUCACGCUGAAUUCUAUGAUUAUAUAUAUGCUGAUGAUCAAAGUUAUGAAAAUCAUGUGAAGGGAUAAAAUAAUGCAUGCAUGACUUAGAAUUUAACUUUCUAUAAAUUUAAAAUUGGUUGUUGAUUGCUUUGUUCAAAAAAUUGGAGCUGACUCUUCCUCCUCAAAAUGGAGUGAAUUACAAGUAAAAUUGAAAGUACAAUUAAACCUUUUUAAUGAUGACCCGCCAAACGAGGAAAAACCCUAAACAAAGUGUAUUUAGAUUAUAUUUUUGAUGAUAUAUGUUAAAUGCCUUUGCUAUUAUUUGCACAAAAUUCCGGUUUCUAAAAUGGACACUUAUUCUGUUAUUAAAAUUGUCCAAAAGCUAAACACACAAUUAAGAAGGCCUAUACUAUUUAACAGUUCCCAAAGCAAAUACAGUUAGGUUUAUAUAUUAGUUUGGACUCCCUUCUUAUUAUAUGUCUUCACUUUUAUAUGCCUACUAAUUUUGUAAAAUUCAGGUUAAGAUAUUUCAUCAGUCUCCUCUACAUAUUUUACAAAGCUAAGAUCAACUUAUUUCAACUUAUUUUAAACAUUAUAAAUCAUCUAUAUUGGUAUAUUUUGUCAGACAUGAUGUAAAUAUGCACAUGAUGGGGCAUUCACCCAAGACAUCUAGUAAUUUUCUUAAAAUAUUUUAAAUUUACUUACUUGAAAUAAAAGAAUAUGCCAAGCGAGAUAAGCAGUGAUGCAAUAGACAAUCCGUGUCCAAUUAUGGUCAGGUAAAACAAAUUUAGUGCAGUCUGUAAUUUGUAUAAACAAAAAAAUUUGGUUCAUAUCAAUACUAUAAGUAUCUGUAAUCCCACACAUGCAGAAGUUCAAAUUCAGUUGAAUAAACUAUAUUUUUAGAAAUAUGUGAUCUG